CAGCAGCCACGGGAAUACGUAGGGUGCGAGCGUUAAUCGGAAUUACUGGGCGUAAAGCGUGCGCAGGCGGUUGUGUAAGACAGGUGUGAAAUCCCCGGGCUUAACCUGGGAACUGCGCUUGUGACUGCACAGCUAGAGUAUGGCAGAGGGGGGUGGAAUUCCACGUGUAGCAGUGAAAUGCGUAGAGAUGUGGAGGAACACCGAUGGCGAAGGCAGCCCCCUGGGCCAAUACUGACGCUCAUGCACGAAAGCGUGGGGAGCAAACAGGAUUAGAUACCCCUGUAGUCCCUGUCUCUUAUAC
rnacentral:rRNA from 1 species